GAUGAAGAACGCAGCGAAAUGCGAUAAGUAGUGUGAAUUGCAGAAUUCAGUGAAUCAUCGAAUCUUUGAACGCACAUUGCGGCGAUAGGUAGUCCUUUGGCCAUGCCUGUUCGAGCGUCAUUUACACCCUCAAGCCUAGCUUGGUGUUGGGCGCCUGUCCCGCCGUUUUCGCGCGCGGACUCGCCUCAAAGUCAUUGGCGGCGGUCGUGCCGGCCCCCUCGCGCAGCACAUUUGCGCUUCUCGGAGGCCCGGCGGAUCCGCGCUCCAGCAAGACCUUUCACGACUUGACCUCGGAUCAGGUAGGGAUACCCGCUGAACUUAAGCAUAUCAAUAAGCGGAGGA
rnacentral:misc_RNA from 1 species